rnacentral:hammerhead_ribozyme from 1 species
ACUGCGCUGACGAGCCCCAAAAGGGCGAAACUGCUGUCCGCAGU